GGAACAGCAGCACUCAGCACUUCUCACGUUCAAAGCACUUCCCUAACAUUCUCUAAUGAAUCUGUCGCAUUGAGCAAUGCAAAGGGCUUGCGCGUGGACAGCAGCCCCUCCUCUGCCCCAUCCCCUGGGCUGUGCGGUCAUUUCAGGUGGGUGCCAGCUCCGUCCUCACCCAGGGUCAUGGUGCUCCUCCUGUCCCCGCUCACCUCUCCCACUACUGGCUCCAUUGGCCCCCGCCACGGAGAAUACACCACAGCCUUCUCCUCCAUACCACCAUGCCAGGAGAGGGCCAGGGGAUGUCAGAGACCUCCUGCCCUGUGACUGAGAACAGCCAACGUGUCCGGCCCCCAAAGACAGGGCUGAAGAACGUAUGAGAGACUCAGCUUUGCUUCUGCUGAGACCCUGCGAGAGCUCUGCAUGCGGGGAAACCCGGCUCCAUGGCAAUUAAAUUAACACAGGGCAUUUAGCAGUGUCGCUUAAACGGUUUCAACACCUAGGAGCGGUAAUUAGUAGUAAUGGUUUGGCGAGGGAGGAAAUUAAGACCUAGGUACGGCACUUUUGUCUGCAGAUAAUUUUCAGUGCCAAACGACUGUAAGGGAGAGGCCGAGAGCCAGGCACGUAGGCUGCGUGCCUUACUGCCAUGGCAGGACAUUCCUGAAACCAGGAGGCCAAGCAACAGGAGUGGGGAAGGUGAGGCUGCAACUCGAGCCCUGUGAUCAGUUCUGGGCCCCUCACUACCAGAAAGACAUGGAGGCCCUGGAGUGUGUCCAGAGAAGGGCAGCGGAGCUGUGAGGGGUCUGGAGCACAGCUCUGACAGGGAGCGGCUGAGGGAACUGGGUUGUUCAGGCUGGAGAAGAGGAGCUCAGGGGAGACCUCAUUGCUCUCUACAGUGACCUGAAAGGAGGCUGUGAUGAGGAGGGGGUCGGCUUCUGCUCCCAGGUAACAGCGAUAGGGUGAGACCGAAUGGCCUCAAGUUGCACCAGGGGAAGUUCAGGUUGGAUACUGGGAAAAAUUUCUUCCCUGAAAGAGCGGUGCUGCACCUGUUUCAAUGCCUCACCAUUAUUUCUGGGCAGAGCAAGGGCCACGCUGCUUCCUAUGGGCACAGCAAUGAGGCAGGAUCCUAGGCUGCAAAUCCCAGCCUGGUGCAGACGUGAACCCUUCUGGCAGCACAUUGUCACUUGUGCUGGUUUUCCACCAAGAGGAACAAUGUGUGAAUGAUGCCAAACCCCGCUGUCCUCCUUUCACUUUCCCUUUGUUGAAACCACCAGGUCGACACAGACGCGGAGGAUGGGGGUGUAGGGCUGUAGAUGAGGACAAGGAGGUUUCGGUGCCCUCUGCAGCCAUCGGCUCUUGACAUUGUGCAAAGUCAGCGGUGAGGAAGCCGGCAGCUUCUGCAAAGGGGUCAGGAUGUACGGCCGUGGGCUGAGACCCAGAAACAGAUCUGCAAGGGCAAAGCACUGGGUUAUGGAGAACAGGUUUGCACUGCUGCUCCUCCUCCUGCUGCUCCCGAUCCCCUCCGGGCUGGAGGAAACGAGGGACUUUGCUCUCUGGGGACCCGUCAAUCAGAAGCCGCCACCUCCUUGCAAUUUGCCGAAGGCUCUGCUGCCAACAGCGGGGCUGAGCCCAUGGCUGAGCGGGCACUGCCAUCCCGUGGGACGAGCCCAGCACAGCAGCCCGGCCCCAGAACGGCGCUGAGCAGAGCCGGAGGACCUGCAGGCUUGUCCAGCCCUGGAUGGCAGGACCUGGACCGGCAUCCUGCUGCUGCA
ensembl:lncRNA